UGUCUUUAAUGGCAGGGGCGUUACCUUGAUCAUGAAGGAGGUUCACCCAGAGUGAGGCUUGGCCAUUGCACCCCGGCUGUGCUGACCUUUGCGAAUUCCCCAAAUGUGGGAAUCUCGACUGCAUAAGUUGUGGUAGUGAGGGACUGCAUACGCGCUCUCCCCUG
rnacentral:snRNA from 1 species